rnacentral:ncRNA from 1 species
CUUGUGGAGAGUAUAUAAAGAUGUGAGUAGUAUUUAAGUUUACUUAGUACAAAAACAUACUCAAUGAAGCAAGAA